rnacentral:lncRNA from 11 species
GCCUAGGGAAAUUGUAUGCUAAUGGUACAGUGCUACUCAUUACAAUUAUUGGUUUGUUUAUACUCUGCCUUUUAUUGAGACACAUGAAAAACAUCAAGCCCAGUCAGGACAUGACCGAGAUAGUACCUGCUUCAGAACCAAAUAACAAAUCGACCCAGAACAAUCAAGAAAUGCUUGAACAGUUAGUGAAAAACAUCCACAAGAUCAACAAAUAUGUGAAGUUGUAUGUUAUAGGAGAUUACAAGAAAGAAAUGAAAUUAAGCACAGGAAAGAACUAUGAAACAGAGAGUGAAUGUUUACUCCCAGUGUGUUCCUGCCAUGAUUCCUGUCAAGACAGUGCAUGAAUCUCAAACCCAGAAAAUUUCCCUCUUCCCAUCUUCCAGCAUCCUUCAUGUUACAAGCAGUUUUGUAAAUGACUCCAUAAGUGACAAAAGCCUCAACGUGGAGCUCAACAUGUGUUGUGAUGAAAAUUAAAGAUUGUACUUGGUAGCCUACAGCCGGUAUUUGUU